rnacentral:rRNA from 1 species
AACGAGCGCAACCCUUGUCUUUAAUUGCCAUCAUUGAGUUGGGCACUUUAAAGAGACUGCCGGUGUUAAACCGGAGGAAGGUGGGAUGACGUCAAGUCCUCAUGGCCUUUAUGCCUAGGGCUACACACGUGCUACAAUGGGUGGUACAAAGAGAAGCCAACUCGCGAGAGCGCGCCAAUCUCAAAAAGCCAUCCUCAGUUCGGAUUGGAGUCUGCAACUCGACUCCAUGAAGUUGGAAUCGCUAGUAAUCGCGGAUCAGCAUGCCGCGGUGAAUACGUUCCCGGGCCUU